rnacentral:rRNA from 1 species
UGCAUUGAUGGCUCAGUGAGGCUUUCGGACUGGCCCGGAAUGGGGGGCGACCCCCGUCCUGGGCCGGAAAGUUAUCCGAACUCGGUCAUUUAGAGGAAGUAAAAGUCGUAACAAGGUCUCCGUUGGUGAACCAGCGGAGGGAUCAUUACCGAGUACUACACUCAUAACCCUUUGUGAACCUUUAUACCUGUUGCUUCGGCGGCGCGCCUCCCGGGGCGUGCCCGCCGGCAUUAUCAGAAUCUCUGUUCGAACCCGACGAUACUUCUGAGUGUUCUAAGCGAACUGUUAAAACUUUCAACAACGGAUCUCUUGGCUCCAGCAUCGAUGAAGAACGCAGCGAAACGCGAUAUGUAAUGUGAAUUGCAGAAUUCAGUGAAUCAUCGAAUCUUUGAACGCACAUGGCGCCUUCCAGUAUCCUGGGAGGCAUGCCUGUCCGAGCGUCGUUUCAACCCUCGAGCCCCCGUGGCCCGGCGUUGGGGAUCUGCCCAGGCAGUCCCCGAAAACCAGUGGCGGACCCGUUACAGGCCCUUCCCUUGCGUAGUAGCAUUCGCCUCGCAUCGGGAGCCAGCGGGCUUCCAGCCUCUAAACCCCCAUCAAGUCCGCCCCGGCGGCACCAAGGUUGACCUCGGAUCAGGUAGGAAUACCCGCUGAACUUAAGCAUAUCAAUAAGCGGAGGAAAAGAAACCAACAGGGAUUGCCCUAGUAACGGCGAGUGAAGCGGCAACAGCUCAAAUUUGAAAUCUGGCUCCUUCGGGGCCCGAGUUGUAAUUUGCAGAGGAUGCCUCGGGUGCGGGUACCUACCGAGUUCCCUGGAACGGGACGCCAUAGAGGGUGAGAGCCCCGUCUGGUAGGACACCCAGC